AUUGUGAAGAGGCUUUAAGAAGGUACUCUCUCCUAUACGAGGAAGAACCCUUCUUUCUUCAACAUAAUGCUGCCAAUGUGCACAAUUAAAUGUGUUGUUGGUCAUGGCUUAGUUAAUACUUUUGGGGAUUAAUAAUUCAAUUUUUUUUUAUAGCAGCAUAGUAUGACAUUGCCUUAUCAACUACAGAAUGUAUUUUUGAUGUCUGAAGUGGUACCUACUCUAAUUUCAAGGACUAAAUUGAA
rnacentral:misc_RNA from 1 species